rnacentral:rRNA from 1 species
GACGAACGCUGGCGGCGUGCUUAACACAUGCAAGUCGAACGGAAAGGCCCUGCUUUUGUGGGGUGCUCGAGUGGCGAACGGGUGAGUAACACGUGAGUAACCUGCCCUUGACUUUGGGAUAACUUCAGGAAACUGGGGCUAAUACCGGAUAGGAGCUCCUGCUGCAUGGUGGGGGUUGGAAAGUUUCGGCGGUUGGGGAUGGACUCGCGGCUUAUCAGCUUGUUGGUGGGGUAGUGGCUUACCAAGGCUUUGACGGGUAGCCGGCCUGAGAGGGUGACCGGCCACAUUGGGACUGAGAUACGGCGCAGACUCCUACGGGAGGCAGCAGGGGGGAAUAUUGCACAAUGGGCGGGAGCCUGAUGCAGCAACGCCGCGUGCGGGAUGACGGCCUUCGGGGUGUAAACCGCUUUCGCCUGUGACGAAGCGUGAGUGACGGUAAUGGGUAAAGAAGCACCGGCUAACUACGUG